rnacentral:rRNA from 1 species
AUGAACGCUAGCUACAGGCUUAACACCUGCAAGUCGCGGGGCAGCAUGGGGGUUGCUUGCAAUCCCUGAUGGCGACCGGCGCACGGGUGAGUAACGCGUAUCCAACCUGCCCUUCACCACGGGAUAAUCCGGCGAAAGUCGGACUAAUACCGUAUGUUGUCCAUUGACGGCAUCCGAUUUGGACGAAAGGUUUGGCGGUGAAGGAUGGGGAUGCGUCCGAUUAGCUGGACGGCGGGGUGACGGCCCACCGUGGCGACGAUCGGUAGGGGUUCUGAGAGGAAGGUCCCCCACACUGGAACUGAGACACGGUCCAGACUCCUACGGGAGGCAGCAGUGAGGAAUAUUGGUCAAUGGGCGUAAGCCUGAACCAGCCAAGUAGCGUGCAGGAUGACGGCCCUAUGGGUUGUAAACUGCUUUUAUGCGGGGAUAAAGUGGCCCACGUGUGGGUUUUUGCAGGUACCGCAUGAAUAAGGACCGGCUAAUUCCGUG